GCCCAAACACUUGUUGACGAGCUGUUGUCACUUUGUCUGCUAGAUGGCGCGAGUGUCUUCGUUACUCAAGACGAAAUUCCGCCAUUUCUUAAAACACUGAUUGGAAGCCACAUGUUGAAAACGUAUCGUUGGAUUGGAUACUUAAUACGGCGUACUUUUCUUUCUUGAAAUUUUUAUUCGUAAUAAUGGUAUUUAUCUGGUAUCAGCCAAUAAUUUCUACAUGGCAAUUUCAUCUGAUCAUGUGGCCUGAACAGCUGAACAUUUUGCCAAAAUGUCUCUUUUUCCUGUACCAGCUUCACGUUUGUCAGAAACACUUCAGAACAAUUCAGGAUUAACACCCUGGUGGAGUUUGAGCUUCUUUGUUGCUGCCCAACUUACACAUGGAUUUGACGCAGCCAGCUGAGGGCUGUAAUUCUUGUUGAUCAUGUAUGUUCGAGUAGUUGCUGUCCGAUGUGGCACGUUGUUGGCAGUUGUUGAUGUGGCAGCCUAUGCUGGUGAAAGAUAUUUCUCAUCAAGUUCAAUUGGCCGUUCCUUGGUGCUGAUGUUGUUUUACCGAAGUUCCAUCAUAUUUUGUUAAAUUGUCAUCGCGACUAUUGCAGUUUACCGUUUAUAAGUUCAGAAGCAACAACAAAAAUUUGGGAUGUUUAUGUCAACAAAUAAUAAACAUGUUUCCGGGAUUGGGAAAGGAAAGUGGAGGAUGUCGGAGGGGGGAGGGAGGAUAUUUCAAGUUUGGAUAAAAAUUCAGUUAAUCUAUUACCAUACAAAUGUUGCCCUACCAAUUAAUCUCCAAACCCCACAAACAUAUACCUUCCAAUCCUUCAAACCCCGAAAACAUACACCUACUAACCCCUAAAUUUAUACCCUCAACCCUAAAAACCAAUUACCUUAACCAUGUGUAAUAAAUCAAAAUAAAUACGUUGUAUGAACCAA